UACAGAGGUGGCAAGCGUUGUUCGGAAUUACUGGGCGUAAAGGGCGCGUAGGCGGUUCGUUAAGUCCUGUGUGAAAUCCCCCGGCUCAACUGGGGAACUGCACAGGAAACUAGCGGGCUUGAGUUCGGGAGAGGGAAGCGGAAUUCCGGGUGUAGCGGUGAAAUGCGUAGAUAUCCGGAGGAACACCAGUGGCGAAGGCGACUCUUUGGCCUGUAACUGACACUGGAGCGCGAAAGCGUGGGGAGGCAAACAGGA
rnacentral:rRNA from 1 species